UUCUCGGAAAAAAAAAAUGAAUGCAUGAAGAAUAGCCAGGGGAGACUGCUAUUAAUUUUCCCUGGGGUGUGGAGAACGGACGGAAGGAGGAGGGAUUCAGACAGUAGGUCCAACCAUGCGAACGACAGCGUCACUUGGCAAAGAACAUCCCUUCAGUCCUCGGAGACGAUGACACUGCAGGAACACCUCACCUCCUCACAGUUCCGGAAGCCUUAUAAGAAACCUGGCUGGACUCUAAGUUCACUAUACCUUUAAAAGCUUCCAGUGACUGCCUGCCCUAUUCAGGUAUAUUGAAAUCCUGAUACCCAGUAACUUGGAAGCAGAAGAAAGGCUCUGGGGAACAGAAAAAGAAAAGGAAAAUGAAAAAGAAAAGGAAAAGACCAUAUCCUGAAGACAGCGAUUUGUUUAGAAGUGUAAAUACAGACAGCAAACCAGUGGCUGACAGACGCUGAGAUUUUAAUGGCUGUCAUGAACAUAAAUGAUGUGAGUCAGAGGCAAGCUCAAGAUUUGCUAAGCCCAUAUCAGGGGUCACAAGGAUGCGAGUGGACAUAUGGAGAUGGGCAAGUGAAUAUGGUGCAUUAUGUGAGCCUCCCAAAUAAUCCACAAAAAUAUUAUAUUGGCAAAAAAGGAGAGAGAGAAAAGAAGAAAACUGUGGUCAAAGACAACAGAAAUUAAACUCAUGUCAAUUUAUCUCUGUAAGUGUCUGUGAAGAGAUAGGCACUAAUCAGAAAUUUUGACUUUGGGUCCAUGGAAGUACACAAGAGCUGGUGAAUCAUGGAGGCCUUUGAGGGGUUUGAAAGGAGGUUCUUGGGAAAUAACGUUGCUGGGUAGUGAUUGGAAGAGGAGACUCUGUACUUGAAUUUGACUUGAAGUGAAUUAGGGUGACGAUCUUUAACAGGUGGCCCUUAUAUUUGGGAAUGGAAUGAGACUUAGAACUGAUCGUGAGAAAUAAAAAGGAUUAUAGAUGUCAAAACA